AACUUGGCAUUGAUAAGGAAAAUGUUCAGAUUGCUUGCAUGCCGAGUAUCUGAUUUCUGACAAGGUUUUUUGGUUUCGUCACUCCUUUGUUAUAUGGAAGAAGACUUCAUGGUAGAAGAUAGCGACAGAGUGCUGCCGGAUAAUGAGAUGUUGAAGCGGCAGAUUGAAUCCAUGACACCGAAGUGCAAUUGCGGCAGAU